ACUUAGGGUUUGUUUCGAGAGGCGCUCCUCCUUUUAGCACUUGUGCCGACAUAACCAAAUUAUCAUGCCUCUUCCUCUCGAGCCAUUAAAAUUGGUGCGGGUGUCUUCACCUCUGAGCUAUCCCUGUUACGGUCGAUUCAGCUUCGGAGGAACAAGGAUUUUCAAAGGGGUUCGAGCACAGUAGAAGGGAUGGUUAAUUUCUUUCUUGCUUUAUAACAAGUCUGUCGUGGUAGCUCCCUGACUUGUUAUUGGACCAGUGGAUGGUGUCAAAAUUUGACCCUAAAAGUGAUAAUUAAUGGCAAAUAAGCAGUUCCAUGACUUCCAUCCCUCUGGAUCUGGUUGAGUUCUUGAUACUAGUGGAUAAUGUUUCUUAUUUAUGUACAAAAGAUAAUGUUUAAUACAAUUUGGAUGUAAUGUUUUUUUUUUUUGGAAACGAAAUUGAAUCAUGUGGAGAUUUCAUA